UACGUAGGGGGCGAGCGUUGUCCGGAUUUACUGGGCGUAAAGCGCGUGUAGGUGGCCGCAUAAGUCGGGUGUGAAAGCCCGGGGCUCAACCCCGGGAUGCCGCCCGAGACUGCGCGGCUUGAGGACGGAAGAGGGGAGUGGAAUUCCUGGUGUAGCGGUGAAAUGCGUAGAGAUCAGGAGGAACACCCGUGGCGAAGGCGGCUCCCUGGUCCGUCCCUGACGCUGAGACGCGAAAGCGCGGGGAGCGAACGGG
rnacentral:rRNA from 1 species